rnacentral:rRNA from 1 species
ACUUGGCGGUGCUUUAAUUCAACUAGGGGAACCUGUCCUCUAACUCGAUAACCCACGAAAACCUUACCUAUUCUAGAAACAGGGUAAUUACUUAUCCCAAAUCAGCCUGUAUACCAUCGUCGUCAGCUGGUGUAUAAAAAAACAGAAACCAGCAAAAAAGAAUAUAUUUCUUACUAAAUACCCCUAAGCCUCUUAAGACAGAUCAAGGUGCAGCCUACGGAUAGGGGCGAGAUGGGUUACAAUUUUCUAAAUUAAACUGGAUCUUUCUAUUGAAACUAGAAAAAGAAAUAGUACUUAGAAGUAAUUUUCUUAUAAAAUAAGAAAAUGAAUAGGAGAUAAAGCGCGUACAAAUCGCCCGUCACUCUCUGAAACUUUCUGUUCCGAAAAUACUUUGUUUUUAAAAUUCAAAAUAUCACAAAUCGCCCGUCACUCUCUGA